rnacentral:rRNA from 1 species
AUACGGAGGGUGCAAGCGUUACUCGGAAUCACUGGGCGUAAAGCGCGCGCAGGCGGCUUGUCAAGUUGGGUGUGAAAGCCCGGGGCUCAACCCCGGAAUUGCACUCAAAACUGGCAAGCUAGAGACCGAGAGAGGUGAGUGGAAUUUCCAGUGUAGAGGUGAAAUUCGUAGAUAUUGGAAAGAACACCAGUGGCGAAGGCGGCUCACUGGCUCGGUACUGACGCUGAGGUGCGAAAGCGUGGGGAGCAAACAGGAUUAGAAACCCUAGUAGUCC